rnacentral:rRNA from 1 species
GGAGCAUGUGGUUUAAUUCGAAGCAACGCGAAGAACCUUACCAGGCCUUGACAUGCAGAGAACUUUCCAGAGAUGGAUUGGUGCCUUCGGGAACUCUGACACAGGUGCUGCAUGGCUGUCGUCAGCUCGUGUCGUGAGAUGUUGGGUUAAGUCCCGUAACGAGCGCAACCCUUGUCCUUAGUUACCAGCACGUUAUGGUGGGCACUCUAAGGAGACUGCCGGUGACAAACCGGAGGAAGGUGGGGAUGCGUCAAGUCAUCAUGGCCCUUACGGCCUGGGCUACACACGUGCUACAAUGGUCGGUACAAAGGGUUGCCAAGCCGCGAGGUGGAGCUAAUCCCAUAAAACCGAUCGUAGUCCGGAUCGCAGUCUGCAACUCGACUGCGUGAAGUCGGAAUCGCUAGUAAUCGUGAAUCAGAAUGUCACGGUGAAUACGUUCCCGGGCCUU